rnacentral:rRNA from 1 species
UACGUAGGUGGCAAGCGUUGUCCGGAUUUAUUGGGUUUAAAGGGUGCGUAGGCGGCCUUGUAAGUCAGUGGUGAAAUACUCCAGCUUAACUGGAGGGGUGCCAUUGAUACUGCAGGGCUUGAGUACAGAUGAAGUAGGCGGAAUUGACGGUGUAGCGGUGAAAUGCGCAGAUAUCAGGAGGAACACCGGUGGCGAAGGCGGGACUCUGGGCCGAUACUGACGCUGAGGAGCGAAAGCGUGGGGAGCAAACAGG